rnacentral:hammerhead_ribozyme from 1 species
AUCCAACUGAUGAAUCCUAAAUAGGAAGAAACGCGCGUCUUGGAU